rnacentral:rRNA from 1 species
GGCGCGAUUGGAUGAGCCCACGUCGGAUUAGCUAGUUGGCGGGGUAAAGGCCCACCAAGGCGACGAUCCGUAGCUGGUCUGAGAGGAUGAUCAGCCACACUGGAACUGAGACACGGUCCAGACUCCUACGGGAGGCAGCAGUAGGGAAUAUUGGACAAUGGGCGCAAGCCUGAUCCAGCCAUGCCGCGUGAGUGAAGAAGGCCCUCGGGUUGUAAAGCUCUUUUGUCCGGAAAGAAAAGCGCCGGGUUAAUACCCUGGUGUCCUGACGGUACCGGAAGAAUAAGCACCGGCUAACUUCGUGCCAGCAGCCGCGGUAAUACGAAGGGUGCAAGCGUUACUCGGAAUCACCGGGCGUAAAGCGUGCGUAGGUGGUUCGUUAAGUCCGAUGUGAAAGCCCUGGGCUCAACCUGGGAAUGGCAUUGGAUACUGGCGGGCUAGAGUGCGGUAGAGGGUAGUGGAAUUCCCGGUGUAGCAGUGAAAUGCGUAGAGAUCGGGAGGAACAUCCGUGGCGAAGGCGACUACCUGGACCAGCACUGACACUGAGGCACGAAAGCGUGGGGAGCAAACAGGAUUAGAU